GUGGUCCAACAAUAAAGUACACAGGUGAAUUAAAUAAAAAAAUAUAUAAAAUUCGUGUUUUCAUGAUCAUAGCUACAAAAUGUAAUUAUAAGUAUUGAAUGCUUCUUUUUGUAACUUUAUAGGGUUGUAAAAGCGUUGACCGUGCGCACAUUUUUAGAAUGAAGCGCUUCUGCGCUUCAUACAAAAUGUACUUCGGUCAACGCUUUUACACACCAAUAAAUUUACAAAACGAAGCAUUCAAUUCUUAAAUGAAAGACAUGUUUUAGGAUAGUUAAGGUGGUACCUAACACCUUGACUAAAAUUAUUUGGCUCGUUUAAUUUUCAUGAAAUUUUGACAAAGUAUUAACUUUGAGCCUUUGACAAAAAUAUCAAAAUAUAAAAAAUUUUGAACCAACCGUUUUGUCAGAAAAAAUACACUGGUUAUAUAGCAGUUUGACAAACAUUAAUUUUGAUCAUUGAGAAGCUUAAUAUUCUUUUUACAACAUAACGUAAUUAAAACAUUUAGCUUACUUUACAGAGUUAUCGCCCUGUAGUGUUAGGUACCACCUUAAGUGGUACAUUCUUCAAUAUGAUAUUACACAACUUUACUUACAUAUACUUAAACCCUAUUGUUUAUAAGAAAAGUUAUCUAGGGUUUUAUUUGGCUUAUAUAAAGAAAUUGAUAUCCAAAGAAUAAUAUUAUAUCGUGAGUUACAGUUGGGAGGAACAACAUUUCUAUAUAUUUUUGCAAUACUCCUUUUAUAGAAUUCAUGAUAGUACCAAAUUUUUAAAUGCUACCUGUAACAGUGCUUUACAUUUAACAUUUGUUUAAAAAAGUAGAGCAAAAUCUACAUAAAAUAGAUCUUUUAUAACUGACUACAGGGGUUUAGGAUUUUCUGGUUGUUCAAGGCUGUAUUGUUGCCUUUAAUUUUUUAUACAUCUUCAUUCAAUUCUGAUGGAUACAUAGAUGGUUCAUUGGCAGUCAAACUAAAUUGUCUCAUUCUUACACACAAAAUAGUAUACUAGAGGUUUUUCAAAUAUAUAGUUUAAUGUACAUGUAUUAAGAUUAAGGGUAAUUAUUCUAACAUUAAUGUGUAAAACUUCUUGAAAUGUUUGUAAGAUUUGCUGCUGUGUGUUUAGCAGCCUUCAAAAGCUUGAUGUAAAUGUAGCAACAAAAAGCUAGUUGCACUGCCUUUGUGAGGAUUGAAACAGGGUUAACAGGGUUGUCAUAUUUGUAUAAUUUACUUUCAUAAUGUAUUAUCAAUAUAAUCAUAGGAUUAUUAAUUUAUUGCAUUAAGAAAUCAGAAAUCCACAAAGCAGGUCUUAAUAAAAAAUCUACAGUAUUGUAUGAAGUAUUUCAAAUAAUAUAUUACAUUAAAGAGCAACAGGUUUCUUUUUUUUUAAGAUUGCAACUGUCAUCUGUUUAAAUGUUAUUUGUGUGCACAAAACAUGUGAUGUCAUCAAUUUAUGCUGGUUUGUGAUUUUCAUAGUAAUAGUUUAUUCAUAUGAUGUUUAAUGUAA
rnacentral:lncRNA from 1 species